rnacentral:rRNA from 1 species
UACAGGGGGUGCAAACGUUGCUCGGAAUUAUUGGGCGUAAAGGGCGCGUAGGCGGCCUGCUAAGUCGGAUGUGAAAUCCCCGGGCUUAACCUGGGAAUGGCAUUUGGGACUGCAAGGCUUGAGUGCGGCAGAGGAGACUGGAAUUCCCGGUGUAGCAGUGAAAUGCGUAGAUAUCGGGAGGAAUACCGAUGGCGAAGGCAGGUCUCUGGGCUGACACUGACGCUCAUGCACGAAAGCGUGGGGAGCAAACAGG